GAUGAAGAACGCAGCGAAAUGCGAUAAGUAAUGUGAAUUGCAGAAUUCCGUGAAUCAUCGAAUCUUUGAACGCACAUUGCGCCCCCUGGCAUUCCGGGGGGCAUGCCUGUCCGAGCGUCAUUUCUGCCCUCCAGCCCGGCUGGGUGUUGGGCGCUGUCCCCCCGGGGACACGCCCCAAAGGCAGUGGCGGCGCCGCGUCGGGUCCUCGAGCGUAUGGGGCUUUGUCACCCGCUCGGGACGGACUCGUCGGCGCUGGUCUUCCUCCAGGCGACCCUUCGGGGCUCGUCUUCCUUCGGUUGACCUCGGAUCAGGUAGGAAUACCCGCUGAACUUAAGCAUAUCAAUAAGCGGAGGA
rnacentral:misc_RNA from 1 species